rnacentral:rRNA from 1 species
AUUGAACGCUGGCGGCAGGCCUAACAAAUGCAAGUCGAACGAGGGGCGGACGGGUGAGUAAUGACUGGGAAACUGCCAGAUGGAGGGGGAAACCUAUUGGAAACGGUAGCUAAUACCGAAUACAAUCAGAUGGGCCCAGAUGGGAUUAGCUUGUUGGUGGGGUAACGGCUCACCAAGGAGACGAUCCCUAGCUGGUCUGAGCGGAUGACCAGCCACACUGGAACUGAGACACGGUCCAGACUCCUACGGGAGGCAGCAGUGGGGAAUAUUGCACAAUGGGCGCAAGCCUGAUGCAGCCAUGCCGCGUGUAUGAAGAAGGCCUUCGGGUUGUAAAGUACUUUCAGCGGGGAGGCGUUACCCGCAGAAGAAGCACCGGCUAACUCCGUGCCAGCAGCCGCGGUAAUUC